rnacentral:lncRNA from 1 species
CACUGGUGAUAACUGCAGGGAUGUAUUUGAAAGCCACUGUACCCAUUUUUCUAGAUGAAAAUAUCUUCCCUUGAAUGGCCCAAGUGAAGGUAAAUGACUUCUAGUCUGCCCUCUCUGAAACCCAUGCCCCACUGCUCAUCAAAGAAGACUGAGGUCCUCAAAGAUGAGAAUGGCUGCCUAUUAAAGACCCUUCCAAUAGACUGCAGAGGCAAAGGAAGUUCAAUAAUGCUGUAUUGGCUUCAUGGUUAUUGAAUGGUGAGGAGGAAUCUACAGAUUUUUUUAAUAGAGUUACAGAUAUUUUCUACAUGAACACUAUAAAAUUUCAGAGAAUCUCUGAGCUUCCACUUGGCUUCUUAUAAUAUUCCUUGGAGGACACAGAAUGGUAG